rnacentral:rRNA from 1 species
GACAGAGGGUGCAAACGUUGCUCGGAAUUACUGGGCGUAAAGCGCGUGUAGGUGGACCAGCAAGUCAGGCGUGAAAUCCCUAGGCUCAACCUAGGAACUGCACCUGAAACUGCUGGUCUGGAGUGGUGGAGAGGAAAGCAGAAUUCCUGGUGUAGAGGUGAAAUUCGUGGAUAUCAGGAGGAACACCGGUGGCGAAGGCGGCUUUCUGGACACUUACUGACACUGAGACGCGAAAGCGUGGGGAGCAAACAGG